rnacentral:rRNA from 1 species
AUUGAACGCUGGCGGCAUGCCUUACACAUGCAAGUCGAACGGCAGCACGGGAGCAAUCCUGGUGGCGAGUGGCGAACGGGUGAGUAAUGUAUCGGAACGUACCUUUCAGUGGGGGAUAACGUAGCGAAAGUUACGCUAAUACCGCAUAUUCUGUGAGCAGGAAAGCAGGGGAUCGCAAGACCUUGCGCUGAUUGAGCGGCCGAUAUCAGAUUAGCUAGUUGGUGAGGUAAAGGCUCACCAAGGCGACGAUCUGUAGCGGGUCUGAGAGGAUGAUCCGCCACACUGGAACUGAGACACGGUCCAGACUCCUACGGGAGGCAGCAGUGGGGAAUUUUGGACAAUGGGGGCAACCCUGAUCCAGCCAUGCCGCGUGAGCGAAGAAGGUUUUCGGAUCGUAAAGCUCUGUCCUCUGGGAAGAAAAAAUGACGGUACCAGAGGAGGAAGCCCCGGCUAACUACGUGCCAGCAGCCGCGGUAAUGAGU